GACGUAGGGCGCGAGCGUUGUCCGGAUUUAUUGGGCGUAAAGAGCUCGUAGGCGGCUUGUCGCGUCGUCUGUGAAAUCCCGCGGCUCAACCGCGGGUCUGCAGUCGAUACGGGCAGGCUAGAGUUCGGUAGGGGAGACUGGAAUUCCUGGUGUAGCGGUGAAAUGCGCAGAUAUCAGGAAGAACACCCGUGGCGAAGGCGGCUCUCUGGUACGUGACUGACGCUGAGACGCGAAAGCGUGGGGAGCAAACAGG
rnacentral:rRNA from 1 species